rnacentral:rRNA from 1 species
UACGGGGGGGGCAAGCGUUGUUCGGAAUUACUGGGCGUAAAGGGCGUGUAGGCGGCCAACUAAGUCCGACGUGAAAUCCCCAGGCUUAACCUGGGAACUGCGUCCGAUACUGGCAGGCUUGAAUCCGGGAGAGGGAUGUGGAAUUCCAGGUGUAGCGGUGAAAUGCGUAGAUAUCUGGAGGAACACCGGUGGCGAAGGCGGCAUCCUGGACCGGUAUUGACGCUGAGGCGCGAAAGCCAGGGGAGCAAACGGG